UGCCAGCAGCCGCGGUAAUACGGAGGGGGUUAGCGUUGUUCGGAAUUACUGGGCGUAAAGCGCACGUAGGCGGGUUUGUAAGUCGGUUGUGAAAGCCCCGGGCUUAACCUGGGAACUGCAGCCGAAACUACAAGCCUUGAAUGUCUGAGGGGUUAGUGGAAUUCCUGGUGUAGGAGUGAAAUCCGUAGAUAUCAGGAGGAACAUCGGAGGCGAAGGCGGCUAACUGGCAGUACAUUGACGCUGAGGUGCGAAAGCGUGGGGAGCAAACAGGAUUAGAUA
rnacentral:rRNA from 1 species